GGGGGCGAACGGGUUCGACAGGGCCGGUUCGAUCUCGGGUUGCGAGCCGAGGCGCCGCUGGCCUCGUAAAAAGCGGCAACAAAGCAAAGGCGAACAACAACUACGCCUACGCGGCCUAAUUGACCGCGCGUCCGCCCGACCUGGGCCAGCAGGGUCGGCAGCGGGCGUGACCACCAGCUGGAUCGGACUCCGAGCCGCCGCCUGAGGCGGAGAGUCUCAAACCAAUCAGGCUAGGCCGUCGGCAGGCCCGCCCCGGGGCGUCGCCGGCGCCGAAGCAGCAAACCGGGGAGACGCUCGUGGACGCUCGAGAGGCGACGGUUUUGGAAGGGAGUUCAAUUCUCCCCGCCUCCACCA
rnacentral:tmRNA from 1 species